AUGGGAACGCGAAGAACCUUACCUACUCUUGACAUCCAGAGAACUUAGCAGAGAUGCUUUGGUGCCUUCGGGAACUCUGAGACAGGUGCCGCAUGGCUGUCGUCAGCUCGUGUUGUGAAAUGUUGGGUUAAGUCCCGCAACGAGCGCAACCCUUAUCCUUUGUUGCCAGCGAUUCGGUCGGGAACUCAAAGGAGACUGCCAGUGAUAAACUGGAGGAAGGUGGGGAUGACGUCAAGUCAUCAUGGCCCUUACGAGUAGGGCUACACACGUGCUACAAUGGCAUAUACAAAGAGAAGCGACCUCGNCGAGAGCAAGCGGACCUCAUAAAGUAUGUCGUAGUCCGGAUUGGAGUCUGCAACUCGACUCCAUGAAGUCGGAAUCGCUAGUAAUCGUAGAUCAGAAUGCUACGGUGAAUACGUUCCCGGGUCUUGUACACACCG
rnacentral:rRNA from 1 species